AAUGAUGCAUAGCCGAGUUGAGAGACUGAUCGGCCACAUUGGGACUGAGACACGGCCCAAACUCUACGGGAGGCUGCAGUAGGGAAUCUUCCACAAUGGGCGAAAGCCUGAUGGAGCAACGCCGCGUGUGUGAUGAAGGCUUUCGGGUCGUAAAGCACUGUUGUAUGGGAAGAAAAGUUAAGGUAGGGAAUGACCUUAGCCUGACGGUACCAUACCAGAAAGGGACGGCUAAAUACGUGCCAGCAGCCGCGGUAAUACGUAUGUCCCGAGCGUUAUCCGGAUUUAUUGGGCGUAAAGCGAGCGCAGACGGUUGGUUAAGUCUGAUGUGAAAGCCCGGAGCUCAACUCCGGAAAGGCAUUGGAAACUGGUUAACUUGAGUGCAGUAGAGGUAAGUGGAACUCCAUGUGUAGCGGUGGAAUGCGUAGAUAUAUGGAAGAACACCAGCGGCGAAGGCGGCUUACUGGACUGUAACUGACGUUGAGGCUCGAAAGUGUGGGUAGCAAACAGGAUUAGAUACCCUGGUAGUCCACACCGUAAACGAUGAACACUAGGUGUUAGGAGGUUUCCGCCUCUUAGUGCCGAAGCUAACGCAUUAAGUGUUCCGCCUGGGGAGUACGACCGCAAGGUUGAAACUCAAAGGAAUUGACGGGGACCCGCACAAGCGGUGGAGCAUGUGGUUUAAUUCGAAGCAACGCGAAGAACCUUACCAGGUCUUGACAUCCUUUGAAGCUUUUAGAAAUAGAAGUGUUCUCUUCGGAGACAAAGUGACAGGUGGUGCAUGGUCGUCGUCAGCUCGUGUCGUGAGAUGUUGGGUUAAGUCCCGCAACGAGCGCAACCCUUAUUGUUAGUUGCCAGCAUUCAGAUGGGCACUCUAGCGAGACUGCCGGUGACAAACCGGAGGAAGGCGGGGACGACGUCAGAUCAUCAUGCCCCUUAUGACCUGGGCUACACACGUGCUACAAUGGCGUAUACAACGAGUUGCCAACCUGCGAAGGUGAGCUAAUCUCUUAAAGUACGUCUCAGUUCGGACUGCAGUCUGCAACUCGACUGCACGAAGUCGGAAUCGCUAGUAAUCGCGGAUCAGCACGCCGCGGUGAAUACGUUCCCGGGUCUUGUACACACCGCCCGUCACACCAUGGAAGUUUGUAAUGCCCAAAGCCGGUGGCCUAACCGUAAGGAGGGAACC
rnacentral:rRNA from 1 species